rnacentral:rRNA from 1 species
GACGAACGCUGGCGGCGUGCCUAACACAUGCAAGUCGAGCGGAGACAGUGAGUAGCUUGCUACGAGCUGUUUUAGCGGCGGACGGGUGAGUAACGCGUGAGCAACCUUUCCCAGACAGGGGAAUAACACACCGAAAGGUGUACUAAUACCGCAUAAGACCACGGGAUCACAUGGUUCUGGGGUGAAAGAUUUAUCGGUUUGGGGUGGGCUCGCGUCCGAUUAGGUAGUUGGUGAGGUAACGGCCCACCAAGCCGACGAUCGGUAGCCGACCUGAGAGGGUGAUCGGCCACAUUGGGACUGAGACACGGCCCAAACUCCUACGGGAGGCAGCAGUGGGGAAUAUUGGGCAAUGGGGGGAACCCUGACCCAGCAACGCCGCGUGGAGGAAGAAGGUUUUCGGAUCGUAAACUCCUGUC